UCGGACGUGGUGUAUGGCGCACACCCGCUUUUCGUGGGUCGCAGAUGUCAUGAAGCGGGAGGCCUGGGUUCGAUUCCCAGCGUCCGAA